GUGAAAGUAUGCCUCGCCAUGAAAACUUUCAGGUUACCGUCACAUAAGAUAAUCACUAUGGUGACUUUAUUUCUCUGUGGUGUCCCAGGUUUUGCUACUUGCAUCAGUGAUGGCUGGGUGUAGAAGGAAAAGCAGGAGUCUGGACUAUGCAUCAGGUCCUGAUGAAACAGAUGAAGUUCUGAACAGAGCAAAAUAAGGAAACAGAAGAAUAUGCUAUUCUUCGUCAUUCCUCUGCACACAUUUAAGGAGAAAUGCUAGCCAACAGCUUGUCAUUUCACUGAGACAUAGAUACGCAGUGAUACAACUUUCAGACAGUUAAAUGAGUGGCUUGCAGCUAAAAGAGAAAGCUGGGAAGAACAAUCUGAGACCAAAUCUCUCACUUCGAAGCAUCACCACCUAAAUGCUCUUUAAUCCAUAAACAGGAAGGUGAUAUGAGCUCACAGCCAUCCUUCUACUAAAGUGAGAGCCAGUAAUAGACCCCUGACCUCCGAGAAUUACAAGACUGAGAUCUAAGAAAGUGAUUUGUGGCUCAUAUUGGACAAACAAUUAUCUAGCACUAGUCCCAGAAAAUCUACAUGCUGUUUUCUGAAAGGGUCAUACAGCUCAAGUGGAUUCUUAGUGAAAUUAGCUAUUUUCUAAUUGUAGAGCUAAUUAAAUUGUAAAGAGAGACCUGUUGGCAUUGGAAACAGUAUUCACAUUCAUCAGAUACAGCCUCCUUAUUAAAAGAGCUGUUAAACUACUUUAGGCUGGCUGAACCUUGCUACACCUGCCCAAUCCAGGUGUCUUCCAGUAUCUAUGGAGAAUAUUUGCCUAGUGGAAAUGAGAUAAUUUUAAGGCAUGUUUUUGUGACAAAUGUCUCUCAGAGAUAAGUAUACAUCUGCUUCCUUCAGACAGUGAACAAAGCAAUAGACAGAUACUGGGAUACUCUUUCAUCUGCUCAUGGCAUUAGCAAUGGGAAGGUAUAUAUAGCUAGGUGGACCUUUUGCUGCAUCCUACAUUUAAUAUGCAGGAUUUACAUCACUAAAAAAAUACAACCAAGAAAAAAAAAGAAACCAAAUCAAACAAAAAGAACUCUGAGACAAAAAAAUCUUCAAAAAUAUUGUGUAAGGAAAUGCAGAUUUCUGUUCCAUAAAAUGAAGAAGAGAAACAUUGUCCAACAUAAUAAGUGCUAGCUCUCCUAGCAGCCACCAUUACCUUAUUCAUUAAAAUGUCAGUGUGUCCUUCUCUAAAAACAGGGGUUUGGAACAUUUAAAUACUACCUGUAAACAGAAUGACUUUUCUAUGAAAAUGUAGAAGUUAAAACAUCAUAUAGUUUUAUCAAUAUCAUCCAAAUAUGCAUAUUUUACCAGAAAUUUGCUACUAGUUAUAGAUGAACGUGUGAAUUAAAAUGGUAAAGAAUUCAGUACUGAAUAAAAAUAUUUUUAGCCCAGCAUGUGUCAUAUAUCUCGUAUCUUUAGGCUGCUAUUAAUAAAGUGUUCCUAUAUGAAACAAGAAAAGGCAUUGGCAAGGAUUGAAAAAAUAUAAUUUUUUGUCAUUUCCACUUUGAAAACCAAUUCAUUGAUAAUAGCAGAAAGCUUUCCAUAUUUUCCUGUUCAUGAAUACUUCAGAUUAUUAAAUCCCUUAAAAGUGCCUAUAUUUGAAAACAAAUCCUUGGAUAAUGCAUGCCAUCAGACAAUUGACUCCUUCAGGCAGCCUUGGCAAAAUUAAGAGUUAAAAGAAGGUGGAAAUCAGAGACAAGUGAAGACAGACUUAGUUGAAAUCUUAUAUUACUUAUUGUAGUUCUUACUUCUUCCCUAAAUGUCAAUCAAUGCAAAACCAGCACACUUAUACAGACAUGUAUACAUGUAUAAUAAUAAAAUUAAAGUAAAUAGAUACAUAAACCCAUAGUGCUGGUGAAACAUAGGUGUUAGGUUGGUUUUGCCUUUUUAAGUAGUGUUGAUAACAAUGUUUCAAUGUUCUAACAUAUGACCUCUUCACUGAGUGAGACUGAAGUCGCUGUGGUUUCUAUUUACCAAGUUAACCUGGUGAAAUUAUGAUCAGAAAAAAACCAAUAAAGGUGGCAGGUUGGCAGCUCUGCU